UCCAGUGAAGCUGCCCUUAGCGCUAGACUUUUAAUCUAGAGGUGGGACUCUUCUUCCCCACGGAGA
rnacentral:tRNA from 1 species